ACCACUGUUAAAUGAUCAUGGAUGCCCCUAUUAUUAUUUGCACAGCUUUUUCUACUAAUCCUAAUUCCUUGAGACAAAGACAACCUCACUGGUAGCUUUUAGAAGUCCCAGGAGUGGCCCGUUCCUAUAAUGUACAUUCCCAUCUUUUGCAGUUUCCGAGUUCAUAAUUUAGUUUUUCACGAAGGAUAUCUAAACAUUUACAGACCCUUAAUAGCAGGGUUUCUUUUGUGACAAUUGAAUCCUGUCAUUUUAAUUAGCACUAUUCAGCCUUCAGAUUUUCCAGGCGGAUAACAGGCCAAAUUUCCUUAGACUUCCUUUGCCUAAUAUUUCUUUCUCCGUCUAUCCAUGCCAAUCUCAUCCAAGUAUAAUAUGAUCUGCAACCCCCACCUUUGCCCUUUUAAUAUUCUCUCACUAUCUGUACUACAGGGAUCUCUGUUGAAUAAUAUUCCUUAAUUGAGAAUACCAUGGACUUGACCUCCAUGACCAAUUCAUGCCAAUAUGGUUUAACUUUCUAAAAUCAGUGAAUAUUUACUGAAGGAGAUUGAGGAUGGCUUGCUUUCAUGGGGCAUGUGUAAAAGGAUGUGUAAGACUGUGAAACCUUAAUAUCUGAAUACACAAUAGUAGCUCCAAGUAACUAUAUACGUUAGAAUUCAGUGCUAAAAGCUAUUUAUGACCAAAGUUGCAAAUAAUAUCAUUGGAUCCAGGAUGACUGACUAGAUGGACUUGGAUCUAACAUAGGAGAAUUGGCAGACAGACAGACAGACAGACAGACAGAUAUAAAGGACAGCUUUGAAUUAUCAAACUGAGUAGAACCCCUACAACCUUUGUUUAUCAAGCCUCUGGUUUUAUGGCAGUGAACCAAAUAUUGCUCCCUAAAUUUAACUCUGAAACCAAUGGAAUUGAUUUGCGAAAGAAUUGUUCAGAGUAACUGAUCGCUCUGGCUAAGCUGCUUUUAGGUACAGUGUUAGAUAAAUCCUUUUAACAGUCUUCAGAUCAGUUAGCAGGGUAAGUAAAUCACAAAUCACUGUUAGCAGAUUCAUGGAAGAAAAUUAAUAGAAUCAGACGCGAUAAUCUGAUAAGGGUGGAAUUGCUGGGGAAACAGUCUUGCCUCAUAUUUGAGGAUGUGAAACAACGGUCUGAUUACUCCGAGUCGUUAUGAAUAGGUGAAUUAUGGGCUAAGUAAUCAUCAGAGUAAUUCACCAUUUAUUAAUUCUUUUCUCUUUAAGCUGUUCCCGGUUGCAAGUUGAAGCCUCUUUCCCUUUGAAGACACAUCCUUUAUAAUUUUUAUUAGAGGUCAGCAAGCCUCUUCACCUAUGAGCAAAGCGAAGACAAUGUGUUCACUCUAUGCAAGGUCUGAAAAUCUUGUCCUCUGUGUGUUCCUGUCCCCUAGAGUCUCUUCUCACUUAAUAUAUAAUAAAUAAUUACAAGUUGGGGCCGUAUGGAAA